rnacentral:tRNA from 1 species
CGGGGUGUAGCGCAGUCGGCCAGCGCGCCGCGUUUGGGACGCGGAGGUCGGCGGUUCAAGUCCGCCCACCCCGACCU